rnacentral:rRNA from 1 species
AACGAACGCUGGCGGCAUGCCUAACACAUGCAAGUCGAACGACACCUUCGGGUCUGGUGGCGCACGGGUGCGUAACGCGUGGGAAUCUACCCUCAGGUUCCGAAUUACUCAUUUACAUUUGAGCUAAUACCGGAUGAUUACCUAAGUCCAAAGAUUUAUCGCCUGAGGAUGAGCCCGCGUAGGAUUAGGUAGUUGGUGAGGUAAAGGCUCACCACGCCUACGAUCCUUAGCUGGUCUGAGAGGAAGAGCAGCCACACUGGGGCUGAGACACGGCCCAGACUACUACGGGAGGGAGCAGUGGGGAAUAUUGGACAAUGGGCGAAAGGCUGAUCCAGCAAUGCCGGGUGAGUGAUGAAGGCCUUAGGGUUGUAAAGCUCGUUUACCCGGGAUGAUAAUGACAGUACCGGGAGAAUAAGCACCGGCUAACUCCGUG